ACCAAUCGAACACCAUGGAGCCCCCGACGUCACAGACAGAACCAAUCGAAUACCAUGGAGUUGCUGAAGUAACAGACAGAACCAAUCGAACACCAUGGAGCUGCUGACGUAACAGACAGAACCAAUCGAACACCAUGGAACUGCUGACGUCACAGACAGAACCAAUCGAACACCAUGGAGCACCUGACGUCACAGACAGAACCAAUCGAACACCAUGGCGCUCCUGACGUCACAGACAGAACCAAUCGAACACCAUGGAGCCCCUGACGUCACAGACAGAACCAAUCGAACGCCGGAGACACCGUAAGGAUCUGACCUGUAACGACGACCCAGGGGCUCGAUGAUGCUGCAGCUCCCCUUGGUGGUGACGGCUCAGGUGGACGUGGUGCUGGUCCUGGUCUCCCUGUGGUCCCUCUGGUCCAGACUCAGUCACCUGAACUACCCCAGCGCUGUGGUGUUUGAUGAGGUGUAUUAUGGUCAGUUUGUGUCUCUCUACAUGAAGAGAGUUUUCUUCAUCGAUGACAGCGGACCGCCACUCGGUCACAUGAUCCUGGCCCUCGGAGCGUACCUCGGAGGAUUUGAUGGAAACUUCGUGUGGAACAGAAUUGGAGCAGAGUAUCCCAGCAGUGUGAGUGUGUGGAGUCUGCGGUUGCUGCCCGCUCUGUGUGGAGCGCUCUGUGUUCCUCUGGUUUACCUGCUGACGCUGGAGCUGAAGUUCUCUCACCUGUCGGCUCUGGGAGCUGCUCUGCUGCUGCUGCUGGAGAACUCGCUUAUUGUCCAAUCACGUUUCAUGUUACUGGAGUCUGUUCUCAUCUUCUUCCUGUUGUUGGCUUUCUUCUCCUACCUGCGUUUCCACAACUCUCCCAGUAGCUCCUGGUCCAGGUUCAGUUGGCUUCUCGUCUCUGGAGCUUCCUGCUCUGCAGCUGUCGGGGUGAAGUACAUGGGUGUGUUCUCAUACUUGCUGCUGCUGGGCGUGGCCUCUCUUCACACCUGGAAGCUGAUUGGAGACCGAACUGUCAAUCAUCUCAGUGUGUGUGUGCAGUGUGUUUGUAGGUUUGUGUGUCUGCUCGUGGUUCCUGUCCUGCUCUACGUGUUUUGGUUCUAUGUUCACCUGAGUCUCCUGAACCGCAGUGGACCACAUGACCAACAGAUGAGCUCUGCCUUCCAGGCCAGUCUGCAGGGCGGCCUCUCCACGAUCACUCAGGGUCAACCUCUUGAAGUUGCUUAUGGCAGUCAGGUCACUUUAAGAAGCUCCGCCUCUCAGCCAAUCCCCUGCUGGCUCCACUCACACAAGGCCAACUACCCAAUUAGGUAUGAAAAUGGGCGGGGCAGCUCCCACCAGCAGCAGGUCACCUGCUAUCCCUUCAAAGACGUUAACAACUGGUGGGUAGUCAAAGAUCCAAGCAGACAGGAGAUGGUGGUCGGCAGUCCUCCUCGACCUGUCCGCCAUGGUGAUGUCAUCCAGCUGGUUCACGGGAUGUCCUCACGCUUCCUCAACAGUCACGACGUCGCAGCUCCCAUGAGUCCUCAUGCUCAGGAAGUGUCCGGUUACAUCGACUUCAAUGCUUCCAUGGCAACUCAGAACCUGUGGAGAGUGGAUAUCUCUAACAGGGAGGCGGAGUCAGAGGUAUGGAAGACAAUCCUGUCUGAGGUUCGAUUGGUCCACGUCAACACCUCCGCUGUGCUCAAGAUGAGCGGUGUGUCCCUUCCAGACUGGGGUUUCGGUCAGCUGGAGGUCGUAGCAGAGAAACUAUAUAAAGUUCACGGCGGCAGUUUGGGGUGGACGGUGGAAGAACAUCGAUACGGAACCAGUCAGGAGCAGAAGGAGAGGGAGGCGGAGCUUCAUUCUCCGACUCACAUCGAUGUCGACAGAAAAAUUUCCUUUUGGGCGAAAUUUUUAGAGCUACAGUGGAAGAUGCUGACAGUGAAACAGGAGGACUCUGAACACAAAUACAGCUCCGGCCCCUUAGAGUGGAUCACCAUGGACACCAACAUCGCAUACUGGCUGCACUCUUCGACCAACGCUCAGAUCCAUUUGAUUGGUAAUCCAGUGUCAUGGGGCGUGGCCAACCUCAGCCUGCUGGCCUAUCAGCUGCUGGCAGCCGUCUACCUGCUGAGGAGGAGGCGAGGCUUCAAAGACCUACCUGAAUCUGUGUGGGAUCAGUUUGUGUGUCUGGGGUGUGUGUGUGUCGGCGGCUGGUUGGUGAACUUCAUUCCUUUCCUGCUGAUGGAGAAAACUCUCUUCCUGUAUCACUACCUGCCCGCCCUCUGCUACCUGUACCUGCUGUGCCCCGCCCUGCUGGAGCACACACACACAAACCUGCUCAGCGAUGUGACACACCGCCGGGCGCUGUGUUUAUUUGCUUCAACCGUGUUGUUGGCCGUCUUCCUGUCAUAUCGAACCUUCUGCCCUCUGACGUACGGCAGCCCAGAGCUCUCAGCAACUCAGCUGCAAGGACUCAAGUGGAGAGACACCUGGGACAUCCUGUACCGCCGACGCUAGAGACGGGUGGACAUACAGGUUUCUCUGUGGGAAAGGGUGUGUUUGUUUUUUCUCAUCAUGUUGACUUGAGCUGAACCUGUUCUGAGGAGAAGCACCUGGUCAGGUGUGUCAUAUUGGAGGCGGAGCUUCAACCCUCUGGACUCACUGUGAAGCCCUGCCCCCUGAUGAUGUCACAAUGAUAAUUGACAUGUGUUGAAUAAAAACUUCUGACUUUAUUAUAUUACAUUACAUAUCAUUGAGCUGAUGCUUUUAUCCAGAGCGACUCACAAUAAGUGCAUCAACCAUGAGGAACAAACCAGAACAACAAGAAUCAAGAAAGUACAAUUUAUUCAAGAAAGCCAAACUACAAAGUGCUACAUGUGUGGUCUGAAGAGAUGUGUCUUCAGUCUGCAGUGGGAGAUGUGUAGACUUUCUGUCCUGAUGUCAUUAGGGAGCUCGUUCCACGUUCAGGAGCCAGGACAACAAACAGUCGUGAUGUUGACUGACCUCCUCCACCACGCUCUGCUCAGUCCUCAGACAGCUGACUCAUUAUGAUCUUUUUCUUCCAGAAAUAGAUAAAUAAACUGUAGCUACGACCUACUAAAUAAGGUCUAGCACAAGCCUGAUGCUAUUAGAUAUUUGUCUAUGGCUCAUAAAGCCAACUUGGGUUUCAACAAUAAUUUGGUCUAAAACUGCUUUUAUUGUCUUCGUGAACAUUUGGGCUAGAAUUUUGUAAUCAGUAUUAAGAAGGAAAAUAGGCAAACGGUCAGUAAUUAAGGCAAAGUGGGUGUUUUUGAGGCUUUGGAAUAAGGGUUGUAAUGGAAAUUUAGCAUCUGUGCAUGGGAUGAUUGCGUGGUCACUCUCCUUGUGGUGGAAGAGUGACCGGAUUGUUUAUUGAAGAGGGUUAACUUAGGGUUUACGAUUAUUACUCAGGGACUUUAAAUGUAUGGCCUCUUGAAGCCUGAAACGUUAUGGUGUCUCUGAGCAAAUGGUUUUGGGAUUUCACUCCAGGGGUUUUGUUUGUAAAUGAAGCCAGGAUGUCCCCCACCCUAAUAAAACACCAAAGAAGGUAAUGGAUACCUUCUUUUCCCUUGUGGGAGGGGCCUGUGAGUUGUAAGUAUACCGAUUUCUCCUCUGUUCUUCACUCAUUGUGCUGGUCAUUCAGGUGAUGUGUAUUUUGAGUCCAUCUGCAGAUGUAGAAUUAAACUUACCGAAAGACAA